rnacentral:rRNA from 1 species
UUCGGUGAUCCGCCGGAGCCCACUGCUAUGGGGUCGACUAGCCAUGCGAGUCAUGGGGCGCGCUCUGCGCGCACGGCGGACGGCUCAGUAACACGUCGGUAACCUACCUCGGGAGGGGGAUAACCCCGGGAAACUGGGGCUAAUCCCCCAUAGGCCUGGGGUACUGGAAGGUCCCCAGGCCGAAAGGGCGUAAGCCGCCCGAGGAUGGGCCGGCGGCCGAUUAGGUAGUUGGUGGGGUAACGGCCCACCAAGCCGAAGAUCGGUACGGGCCAUGAGAGUGGGAGCCCGGAGAUGGACACUGAGACACGGGUCCAGGCCCUACGGGGCGCAGCAGGCGCGAAACCUCCGCAAUGCGGGAAACCGCGACGGGGGGACCCCCAGUGCCGUGGCAACGCCACGGCUUUUCCGGAGUGUAAAAAGCUCCGGGAAUAAGGGCUGGGCAAGGCCGGUGGCAGCCGCCGCGGUAAUACCGGCGGCCCAAGUGGUGGCCGCUAUUAUUGGGCCUAAAGCGUCCGUAGCCGGGCCCGUAAGUCCCUGGCGAAAUCCCACGGCUCAACCGU